AUUGAACGCUGGCGGCAUGCCUUACACAUGCAAGUCGAACGGUAACGGGUCCUUCGGGAUGCCGACGAGUGGCGCACGGGUGAGUAAUAUAUCGGAACGUGCCCAGCAGUGGGGGAUAACUGCUCGAAAGAGCAGCUAAUACCGCAUACGACCUGAGGGUGAAAGGGGGGGAUCGCAAGACCUCUCGCGAUUGGAGCGGCCGAUAUCAGAGUGGCUAGCUGGUGGGGUAAAGGCCUACCAAGGCAACGAUCGGUAGUUGGUCUGAGAGGACGACCGGCCACACUGGGACUGAGACACGGCCCAGACUCCUACGGGAGGCAGCAGUGGGGAAUGUUGGACAAUGGGCGCAAGCCUGAUCCAGCAAUGCGGCGUGCAGGAAGAAGGCCUUCGGGUUGUAAACUGCUUUUGUCAGGGAAGAAAUCUUCUGGGCUAAUACCCCGGGAGGAUGACGGUACCUGAAGAAUAAGCACCGGCUAACUACGUG
rnacentral:rRNA from 1 species